AUUGAACGCUGGCGGCAGGCCUAACACAUGCAAGUCGAACGAGCUGCGGACGGGUGAGUAAUGUCUGGGAAUCUGCCUGAUGGAGGGGGAUAACUACUGGAAACGGUGGCUAAUCCCGCAUACCAUCAGAUGAUCCCAGAUGGGAUUAGCUUGUAGGUGGGGUAACGGCGCACCAAGGCGACGAUCCCUAGCUGGUCUGAGAGGAUGACCAGCCACACUGGAACUGAGACACGGUCCAGACUCCUACGGGAGGCAGCAGUGGGGAAUAUUGCACAAUGGGCGCAAGCCUGAUGCAGCCAUGCCGCGUGUAUGAAGAAGGCCUUCGGGUUGUAAAGUACUUUCAGCGGGGAGGCGUUACCCGCAGAAGAAGCACCGGCUAACUCCGUGCCAGCAGCCGCGGUAAUAC
rnacentral:rRNA from 1 species